GAAGGCCUUCGGGUUGUAAAGCACUUUCAGUUGUGAGGAAAGGUUAGUAGUUAAUACCUGCUAGCUGUGACGUUAACAACAGAAGAAGCACCGGCUAACUCCGUGCCAGCAGCCGCGGUAAUACGGAGGGUGCGAGCGUUAAUCGGAAUUACUGGGCGUAAAGCGCGCGCAGGCGGUCUGUUAAGCUAGAUGUGAAAGCCCCGCGCUCAACGUGGGAGGGUCAUUUAGAACUGGCAGACUAGAGUCUUGGAGAGGGGAGUGGAAUUCCAGGUGUAGCGGUGAAAUGCGUAGAGAUCUGGAGGAACAUCAAUGGCGAAGGCAACUCCCUGGCCAAAGACUGACGCUCAUGUGCGAAAGUGUGGGUAGCGAACAGGAUUAGAUACCCUGGUAGUCCACACCGUAAACGCUGUCUACUAGCUGUUUGUGGAUUUAAUCCGUGAGUAGCGAAGCUAACGCGA
rnacentral:rRNA from 1 species